rnacentral:rRNA from 1 species
AACGAACGCUGGCGGCAGGCUUAACACAUGCAAGUCGAACGCCCCGCCAGGGGUUUUGCAGACUGGUGAUUAACGCGUGUGAACAUACCCUUUUCUACGUAAUAUCUCUUUGAUACUUGUAUUAAUACCGUAUUCGCCCUACGGUGGCAAGAUUUAUCGGGGUAGGAUUGGCCCGCGUUGGAUUAUCUUGUUUGUUGUGUAAAGGCCUACCAAUGCGACGAUCCAUAGCUGGUCUGAGAGGAUGAUCAGACACAUUGGGACUGAGACACGGACCAAACUCCUACGGGAGGAAGCAGAGGGGAAUAUUGGAAAAUGGGCGAAAGACUGAUAAAGCAAUGACGGGUGAGUGAUGAAGGCAUGAGGGUUGUAAAGCUCUAUAAAAGAUGAAGAUAAUGACGGUAGUCGGAGAAGAAGCCACGGCUAACUUCGUG